rnacentral:rRNA from 1 species
UACGUAGGGUGCGAGCGUUAAUCGGAAUUACUGGGCGUAAAGCGUGCGCAGGCGGUUUUUGUAAGACAGAUGUGAAAAUCCCCGGGCGUCAACCUGGGAACGUGCGUUUGUGACUGCAAGACUUGAGUGUGGCAGAGGGGGGUGGGAAUUCCACGUGUAGCAGUGAAAUGCGUAGAGAUGUGGAGGAACACCGAUGGCGAAGGCAGCCCCCUCGGGU